rnacentral:pre_miRNA from 1 species
CCCGUCCAGCUGAUGCGUGGUUUAGGUAGUUUGAUGUUGUUGGGGUUGACUUCCUGGCUCGACAACAAGAAACUGCCUUGAUUACGUCAGUUUGCCUUCAUCAAGGCCGU